UUAGAGUGUAGAGGAGGUAGGUAGCCUAGUGGUUAGAGUGUAGAGGCGGCAGGUAGCCUAGUGGUUAGAGUGUAGAGGUGGCAGGUAGCCUAGUGGUUAGAGUGUAGAGGAGGUAGGUAGCCUAGUGGUUAGAGUGUAGAGGCGGCAGGGUAGCCUAGUGGUUAGAGUGUAGAGGUGGUAGGGUAGCCUAGUGGUUAGAGUGUAGGGGUGGCAGGGUAGUCUAGUGGUUAGAGUGUAGAGGAGGCAGGUAGUCUAGUGGUUAGAGUGUAGAGGUGGCAGGUAGCCUAGUGGUUAGAGUGUAGAGGUGGCAGGUAGCCUAGUGGUUAGAGUGUAGAGGUGGCAGGUAGCCUAGUGGUUAGAGUGUAGAGGUGGUAGGUAGCCUAGUGGUUAGAGUGUAGAGGUGGCAGGUAGCCUAGUGGUUAGAGUGUAGAGGUGGCAGGGUAGCCUAGUGGUUAGAGUGUAGAGGCGGCAGGGUAGCCUAGUGGUUAGAGUGUAGAGGAGGCAGGUAGCCUAGUGGUUAGAGUGUAGAGGAGGCAGGUAGCCUAGUGGUUAGAGUGUAGAG